rnacentral:rRNA from 1 species
CAGCAGCCGCGGGAAUACAGAGGGUGCGAGCGUUAAUCGGAUUUACUUGGCGUAAAGCGUGCGUAGGCGGCUUUUUAAGUCGGAUGUGAAAUCCCUGAGCUUAACUUAGGAAUUGCAUUCGAUACUGGGAAGCUAGAGUAUGGGAGAGGAUGGUAGAAUUCCAGGUGUAGCGGUGAAAUGCGUAGAGAUCUGGAGGAAUACCGAUGGCGAAGGCAGCCAUCUGGCCUAAUACUGACGCUGAGGUACGAAAGCAUGGGGAGCAAACAGGAUUAGAUACCCGCGUAGUCCCUGUCUCUUAUAC